GACGAACGCUGGCGGCGUGCUUAACACAUGCAAGUCGAACGGUGAAGCGAGUGCUUGCACUCGUGGAUCAGUGGCGAACGGGUGAGUAACACGUGAGUAACCUGCCCAUCACUCUGGGAUAAGCACUGGAAACGGUGUCUAAUACUGGAUACGACCAACCCUUGCAUGGGGUGUUGGUGGAAAGAUUUAUCGGUGGUGGAUGGACUCGCGGCCUAUCAGCUUGUUGGCGGGGUAUUGGCCCACCAAGGCGACGACGGGUAGCCGGCCUGAGAGGGUGACCGGCCACACUGGGACUGAGACACGGCCCAGACUCCUACGGGAGGCAGCAGUGGGGAAUAUUGCACAAUGGGCGAAAGCCUGAUGCAGCGACGCCGCGUGAGGGAUGACGGCCUUCGGGUUGUAAACCUCUUUCAGCAGGGAAGAAGCGAGAGUGACGGUACCUGCAGAAGAAGCACCGGCUAACUACGUG
rnacentral:rRNA from 1 species